AUUGAACGCUGGCGGCAUGCCUAACACAUGCAAGUCGAGCGAGCGGCGGACGGGUGAGUAAUGUAUGGGGACUGCCCGAUAGAGGGGGAUAACUACUGGAAACGGUGGCUAAUACCGCAUACUAUUGGAUAACCCAUAUGGGAUUAGCUAGUAGGUGGGGUAAAGGCUCACUUAGGCGACGAUCUCUAGCUGGGCUGAGAGGAUGAUCAGCCCCCCUGGGACGUCGACACGGCCCAGACUCCUACGGAGGCCGCAGUGGCGAAUGUUGCGCAGUGGGCGCAAGCCGUAUGCAGCCAUGCCGCGUGUAUGAAGAAGGCCUUAGGGUUGUAAAGUACUUUCAGCGGGGAUGCGUUACCUGCAGAAGAAGCACCGGCUAACUCCGUGCCAGCAGCCGCGGUAAUUC
rnacentral:rRNA from 1 species